UACGUAGGUGGCGAGCGUUGUCCGGAUUUCUGGGCGUAAAGAGCGCGCAGGCGGUCGUUCAAGUCGCGUGUGAAAGCCCCCGGCUCAACUGGGGAGGGUCACGCGAUACUGAUCGACUCGAAGGCAGGAGAGGGUAGUGGAAUUCCCGGUGUAGUGGUGAAAUGCGUAGAUAUCGGGAGGAACACCAGUGGCGAAGGCGGUUAGCUGGCCUGUAACUGACACUGAGGCGCGAAGGCUAGGGGAGCGAACAGG
rnacentral:rRNA from 1 species